rfam:Nematostella vectensis strain CH2 x CH6 NEMVEscaffold_6980_Cont52240, whole genome shotgun sequence.
CAAACGGUUCUUUUAGGAACCACCACAUAUGACAAGAGUCAUGUCC